GAUUAAGCCAUGCAUGUGUAAGUAUAAAUAAUUCUACUUUGAAACUGCGAAUGGCUCAUUAUAUCAGCUAUAGUUUAUUAGAAAUAGCGUACUACUUGGAUAACCGUAGUAAUUCUAGGGCUAAUACAUGAGUAAAUCCUCGACUUUUGAAGAGGUGUGUUUAUUAGUAUGAAAACCAUAUGCUUUUGCAUGAUAGUGAGUAAUAAUAACCUUUCAUAUCGCCUGUUUUAAAUAGCGAUAGUUCUUUCAAGUUUCUGCCCUAUCAGCUUUCGAUGGUAGUGUAUUGGACUACCAUG
rnacentral:rRNA from 1 species